CGCGUAGGCGGCCAUCUUUGUCAGGCGUGAAAGCCCUGGGCUUAACCUGGGAACUGCGCUUGGGACGGGGUGGCUAGAGAUCGGGAGAGGAGAGUGGAAUUCCCAGUGUAGAGGUGAAAUUCGUAGAUAUUGGGAAGAACACCAGUGGCGAAGGCGGCUCUCUGGACCGAUACUGACGCUGAGGCGCGAAAGCGUGGGGAGCAAACA
rnacentral:rRNA from 1 species